rnacentral:tRNA from 1 species
AUUCCCGGGCCCCGGACCUUGAGUCUGGACGUAAGAUGGGGGGGGAAAGGAGUUAAAAAUCUCUUUUACCUGG